rnacentral:rRNA from 1 species
GGGUUAGUAGGUUGGUCAUGCCUCUGGUAUGUACUGAUCUCAUUGAUUCCUCCCUCUUGACGAACUGUAAUGUCGUUAAUUUGGUGUUGCAGGAAAUCAGGACUGUUACUUUGAAAAAAUUAGAGUGUUUAAAGCAGGCUAACGCUUGAAUACAUUAGCAUGGAAUAAUGAAAUAGGACGUUUGAUCCUAUUUUGUUGGUUUCUAGGAUUGACGUAAUGAUUAAUAGGGAUAGUUGGGCUG